GUGGGGAAUAUUGGACAAUGGGCGAAAGCCUGAUCCAGCCAUGCCGCGUGUGUGAAGAAGGUCUUCGGAUUGUAAAGCACUUUAAGUUGGGAGGAAGGGCAGUAAGUUAAUACCUUGCUGUUUUGACGUUACCGACAGAAUAAGCACCGGCUAACUUCGUGCCAGCAGACGCGGUAAUACGAAGGGUGCAAGCGUUAAUCGGACUUACUGGGCGUAAAGCGCGCGUAGGUGGUUUUGUAAGUUGGAGGUGAAAUCCCCGGGCUCAACCUGGGAACUGCCUCCAAAACUGCAUGACUAGAGUACGGUAGAGGGUAGUGGAAUUUCCUGUGUAGCGGUGAAAUGCGUAGAUAUAGGAAGGAACACCAGUGGCGAAGGCGACUACCUGGACUGAUACUGACACUGAGGUGCGAAAGCGUGGGGAGCAAACAGGAUUAGAAACCCCGGUAGUCC
rnacentral:rRNA from 1 species